rnacentral:tRNA from 1 species
GUGAGUUGUAGCUGAGUGGUUAAGGCAACGAGCUAGAAAUUCGUUGGUUUCUCUCUGUGCAGGUUUGAAUCCUGCUAAUUAUG